CUACCAAGACAGUGACGGUUGACGGGGAAUCAGGGUUUGAUACCGGAGAGGGAGCCUGAGAGAUAGCUCCCACGUCCAUGGACGGCAGCAGGCGCGAAAAUUGCCCACUCUUUGCAGGAGGCAGUUAUGAGACGUGAGAUUGAAUAUUUUGUAAAGAGGAAUAGGAGAAUUGGAGGGCAAGUUUGGUGCCAGCCGCCGCGGUAAUACCGACUCCAAGAGUGUGUAUGAGAGAUGCUGCAGUUAAAAAGUCCGUAGUCGUAGAAGUUGAAAUAGGGAUGUGAGGUCUCUGUAGUUAGUUUUGGAAAAACCGAUGGGGAACAUAGUAUACCAGGGCGAGAGAUGAAAUGCCAAGACCCCUGGUGGACUGAGCGAGGCGAAAGCGAUGUUCUUGUAGGUAUUUGAUGAUCAAGGACGAAGGCUGGAGUAUCGAAAGUGAUUAGAUACCGCAGUAGUUCCAGCAGUAAAAGAUGCC
rnacentral:rRNA from 1 species